AUUGAACGCUGGCGGCAUGCCUUACACAUGCAAGUCGAACGGCAGCGCGGGGCAACCUGGCGGCGAGUGGCGAACGGGUGAGUAAUAUAUCGGAACAUACCCUAGAGUGGGGGAUAACGUAGCGAAAGUUACGCUAAUACCGCAUACGCACUAAGGUGGAAAGUGGGGGAUCUUCGGACCUCAUGCUCAUGGAGUGGCCGAUAUCUGAUUAGCUAGUUGGUGAGGUAAAGGCUCACCAAGGCGACGAUCAGUAGCUGGUUUGAGAGAACGACCAGCCACACUGGAACUGAGACACGGUCCAGACUCCUACGGGAGGCAGCAGUGGGGAAUUUUGGACAAUGGGGGCAACCCUGAUCCAGCAAUGCCGCGUGAGUGAAGAAGGCCUC
rnacentral:rRNA from 1 species